rnacentral:rRNA from 1 species
CAGCAGCCGCGGUAAUACCGGCGGCCCGAGUGGCGGCCACGAUUAUUGGGCUUAAAGCGUCCGUAGCCGGGUUGGUUAGUCUCCCGGGAAAUCUGGCCGCUUAACGGUCAGAAUUCCGGGAGAUACUGCCAGCCUAGGGACCGGGAGAGGCCGAGGGUAUUCCCGGAGUAGGGGUGAAAUCCUAUAAUCCCGGGAGGACCACCUGUGGCGAAGGCGCUCGGCUGGAACGGGUCCGACGGUGAGGGACGAAGGCCAGGGGAGCAAACCGGAUUAGAUACCCGGGUAGUCCUGGCUGUAAACGAUGCGGACUUUGUGUCGGACAAGCUAUGAGCUUGUCCGGUGCCGGAGGGAAACCGUUAAGUCCGCCGCCUGGGGAGUACGGCCGCAAGGCUGAAACUUAAAGGAAUUGGCGGG